AACGAACGCUGGCGGCAGGCCUAACACAUGCAAGUCGAACGCUCUAGCAAUAGAGAGUGGCAGACGGGUGAGUAACGCGUGGGAAACUUCCUAGGGGUACGGAAUAGCUCAGGGAAACUUGGGGUAAUACCGUAUGAUGCCGAGAGGCCAAAGAUUUAUCGCCCUUAGAUGUGCCCGCGUCGGAUUAGCUAGUUGGUGAGGUAACGGCUCACCAAGGCGACGAUCCGUAGCUGGUUUGAGAGAAUGACCAGCCACACUGGGACUGAGACACGGCCCAGACUCCUACGGGAGGAAGCAGUGGAGAAUCUUGGACAAUGGGCGCAAGCCUGAUCCAGCCAUGCCGCGUGAGUUACGAAGGCCUUAGGGUUGUAAAGCUCUUUUGCCGGGGACGAUAAUGACGGUACCCGGAGAAUAAGUCCCGGCUAACUUCGUGCCAGCCGCCGCGGUAA
rnacentral:rRNA from 1 species